GAUAACAUUGCUUUUGUUUUAUUGAGGUACUUAAAGAAACUAAUCACAACAGUUGUUCUUAAAAUCCACCUUUUUCGCCAUUUUAUCGUCAUAUGUUUACCAGGAGUGGAUCUUUGCAUCUUUCUGGUGGGGAGCCCAAGCGUGCGGGAGAAAGGUACAAUUUACCGGGGCUUGUUUGAUCCGGGGCAGGGGCCAGGCCAGCCUGCAACCCUUUAUCAUGGGGGGAGAACAUGAAACUGAACUUCAGAUCUUGAGAGAGUUGCUAGGGCCAAUCGGAACAGAAGCCGUGUUGCAACACUCUGAAGAGAAAAAUGCUGCCCCAGGCCUUUUUCCUAGGACAAGGAGUAUAUACUUUGUGCAGUUAAGCCAGGACUUGUAGUUAGAGAGACAGAGAAAUCAUUUGUGUUUUCCUACGUCUAAUGCUCUCUCAAAAACCACAUUGAUAAUCAGGGACAUUGAUCCCAAGAACAGUGGGAACAAGUGCUGAUUUACAGGCCGAAAAUGUAUGUCAACAAAUGUCCAGUACAUGCACACACCUUACUGCCAUGUCUGGCUAUAAAUAUAAAUCAUGAGAUUGAACAUAUGCAAUGGAAUCAUGAUACAUGUGUGGGACACGUUUGUCCUGUCCCCUCCCCAGUGAAGCUGGGCCCUGCCGAAGAAUCUUGAUCACAGCCAGUGAUAUCUUAAGUCAUAGGAGCCAACUCCUAGGGGCCAAGAGGUAUUUGACCCCCCCCCCCAAUAAAAUAUUCGCCCUCCAAAAAAUGCUGUGCAGGUGCCACAUCAUGUGAUUGAUUCCCUCCCCCCCUCAAUAUUUUUUCUAGUUGGCACCCCUGUCUGAAGUGGCACCUCUGUUCAGAUUAAGGGCACCAGUUACAUGAUGCAAAAAGAAAGGACAUGUUUCACGUUUCACCAUAAAAAAGGACACAGAUUUUUAUAAAAUGAAUAAAUAAUUACUAUGUAGAAAGAGAUACAAUGCAAAGGAUAACUAGGGAGUAAUUAAUAAUUGGAGUACUGAAGGAGAUGCAGUGUUACAAAUUAAAAAAAAUUUAAAACCACAAAAGGAAUGGGGGAAAGUCAAAAUAUACGUAUUUGUUAGAAAAUGUUGGAUUGUAUGUUGAUUUGUCAAAAUAUUUAUGAAAGACUGAAAAAUAACAUUUAUUUUAAAAGCGAGAAAGAGAUACAAUGCAAUUCACCCUCAUGGGGAAGAUUGUGCCCAGGUGAUCUGUGGGCCUGCUCUCUCUGCUGCUCAGGUGCUCCUUUUGAUGGCCAACUCCAAGGCUCCCUCUUUGCUCUCACUUUUCAGGGUUCUUCUUUCUAUAAAUUAAACUUGAACCUAUUAUGUUAUUAGUCUUUUUGAAGUGAUCCCAGAGAACUAAAUGAGGCAACGUAUACUAUCUCAGGCCCUUGGGUGUCUCAAAUGCAGCCUACCACACUCCCCACACCCCAAAUAUGGAACCAUUUUCAAGGCUAGGACGUGAUACACUUAAUCAGGCAAAGGGGUGAACUGUGGCUGCUGCUGGGAAACAAAGAUAUAUAAAGUAUUUGUUCUGGAGGGCAUUCGGCUGUUGAGAUCUGCCUAGUAAGUAUUAUUCUGGUUUCAGCUUAUUCUGGUUUUUUGUUUGUGCUCGGUGUUUCUGUUUAGAUACAAUUAUUGGAAGUUAUUGUUCUCCUCGCCACCUUCCAAUUUGUGUGAACCACUUUGAUUGUGUAAAGGUGGCAUAAAAAUGGUUUGUUUGUUUUUUAAGUACUUCUUCCCUUAAAUAUCAGUGUUACCCACCACACUCAGUCAGAUUAGCAGAUCAGCUGUGCCCUGCCUGGGCAGCAGUGACCUUUGGUCACUUUGGAACAGAGAUUUGGAUAACGAGGGUGUUAAGGAAGCGGGGGCAGCUAUUUUCAUGUAGGAAAGGAUUUGGGAGAGGAAAGCAUCAACAUAUUAGGAAAGGGCCUUCAAGGCUGUGUGCUGCUUGGUGUCAGCAGUGGUGCUAGGGAAAUAAUUUGGUGGGCAACGUGUAUAAAGGCAGGCUGAGACAUUUUGCUGCUUGAGGCAGAGCGGGAAAUGGCACCCCCCCCCCCCAAUCCAGGGGCCAAUCAAGAGAUUUUAGCACCUGAGGCAGAAACUCCCAUAAGCGCUACUUCUUCCACCCCAUGCCCAGCUGUAACUCUACCUAAUGGCGAUAUUGAUGACAAUUAGGAUCAGAUGGUGAGGAUCUGAGAAAUUUAAUAUAUAUAUAACGAAAGAAACCAGCUGCUAGUCUUGUGAGGACCGUUUCCCAACCAUUCCUGCAUCUCCCAUAAAAACCAGUGGGGAGGUUGGGGGGGUGAUGUGGCCCCCUAGACACCUGCUGGGUGGGGAGCUUGCUUCUCCAGCUCAAUUAAAUGUGGCAUCCUUGCGACACAGAGCUCUCCAGCAGUAGAAUUUGACACAUAACUGCAGGUAAAAGCAAGGAUUGAUGCUAUAUUUGUUUGCAAUGCUGCACAGGUAGGCUGAAAAUCCAGAGUAAAGCUGAAGUACACCUUCAAACAGUGCAUAGCUGAAUGUAUGGAAUUUGCUGCCACAAGAUGUGGUGUUGGUCGCCAAUUUGAGAUGGCUACUUGUCAUGAUAGCUGUGUACUACUUGUGGUAUUAGAGGGAGCAUGACGGAAAUACCAUUUCUGGAGAACCAGGGGAGAGGAUGAACUUGCUUCCUUCAUGCCUAUUUAAUAGGCUUCCUAUGGGCAUCUGGUUGGUUGCUGUGAGAACAGGAUUCUGGACUCGAGGACUUUUAGCAUGAUCCAGCGGAGCUCUUCUUAUGUUCUUGUGAGUCAGCAGAAAUAGGGGAAUUCAUUACCUGAGGCCCUGUUUGCAUCUUACACUUUCCUGAAUGAUGUCUGAAUGAAGAAGAAUGUCACAUAAUCAGACACGUGUCAAGACAUUCAAAUGCUUACGAAGUGUUCGCUUAAUAGAUACACUACUGGGUUAUUUGCCCAAUACACUGUGCUUUCUAUAUAGCGGAAUGUGUUUACAAACCUGAAGGUGAGCACAGAAGUCCAGGAUUGCUUUGCGAUUGUUGGCUUGUCUCAGUUUUUAGGGGGAUACGCCUUUCCCUCUACCCUUAUUGUCAGUUUCCCCAUGUCAUAUUGGCAAAAUUCAGAUGUAAUUCUAAACAGUUGUUUUAUCAUUAUGGGAUUAGUAACCUCAGCAAGUUUGAGUUCUUGUGCUUUCCUCCAUCUUUAUGCACAAGGGGAGGAAAUGUAAAGCAGUGGUGAACAGUUGUGGAAACACUGGGUUGCACAAACCAUACUUGGUUCAGAAACCAGGAUGUGUACCAACUGCAGUUUCUCAGAUUCAGAUGAAAGGAAUGUACUUCUGAACCAUUUACCUAUAGUAUAGGGACUCAUGGAUGGACUACAAAAGUGGAUUUUGUAAGCACUUCUGGUAGCUAAGAGACUUCAACUCUGGAAGGAUAAAAACCACCAUCUAUCACACAGUGGCCCAAGGACCUUAUUACCUUGGCUGCAUUCAGAAAUAUUUCAUAUAGGAAUUUUCUGUGGAUACCUAUUUGGACAUCUGGAGGGCUUAAAUUAAUUUAUAUGUUUGGUUUAAGAUUCAUGUACUAACGGUGGUCUAAUAUUAUUUGUAUAUUAUUGUUUAUCAAUAUUAUUUAUCUCUUCUCUUUUUAAAAUGUUAUUUUAUCUUUUUCUCUCAUCUUUCCUCUUCUUGUUAAAUUCACAAAUAAAAAAUUAAUAAUAAGAUUCAGAUGAACCAGGAAAGUGUGGCUUGUUACAAACCAUGCCCAGAAGCUUUAAAUUUCUGCCCCUUGCACAUGAAUAAGGGAGGUGAACGGAAGCCCAAUGCUCGUCAUGUCACACUCAGAUUGCUAAGUCAUGGUUUAAUAACAUGCCCUGAUUUAGCCAGUGUGUAUUGUGUGUGUAUUGAUUUUAUACUAUAUUAACAGCCAUGGCUUCUCCCAAAGAAUCUUGGAAGCCAUGUUUUGGUGAGAGUGCAGUGAAUUUUAAAUGUGAUGUGUCUUAAUAAAUCUAUGUUCCCAGGGUUUCUUGAGGAUGGGGAACGAUUGUUAAAUCAGUCUGAAAUGUAGAAGUGCAAUGGAUCCAAACUACAAGAAAGAAGAUUCCACCUAAACAUUAGGAAGAACUUCCUGACAGUAAGAGCUGUUCGACAGUGGAAUUUGCUGCCAAGGAGUGUGGUGGAGUCUCCUUCUUUGGAGGUCUUUAAGCAGAGGCUUGACAACCAUAUGUCAGGAGUGCUCUGAUGGUCUUUCCUGCUUGGCAGGGGGUUGGAGUCGAUGGCCCUUGUGGUCUCUCCCAACUCUAUGAUUCUAUGGUUCUAUGUACACCAGUAGUUCUCAAACUUUUUUCUCUGGGCCACACACACUUUCAGAAUAAAAAUUUGAUUGUGCCACACCAAAUGUUUUAUUGACAAGAAAUAAAUUGGAAAACAAAGAGAAACAACAACUAGCAGUACUCCGUUGAUAACCCAGAACACAACUACUUCAGGAUACGAUCACGGAGCAUCCAGAAAGUAUAAAACAGUGCAGCUACAUAAGAACAUGAAUCCUUCCCAAAAUAUAAUUACAAACAAGCCUCUUAUAUAUGUAUCUUGUAAAGUACCUUGUAACAAUUUAAUUUACUGAAAUUAGGAAUGUUUAACUGUACACAUUACUGUUUGUUUAAUUCUGGAAUGUUCCUCAGUAACUCUUGUGUGAUCGGUUAACUCUGGUCACAUGGAAAGUGUCCUUAUUCCAUUCUCCAUUUUGUUUUGAGUAUGAGCGACUUGAUUAUAAUAGCUGCAUGUCCAUGAACUCUGAAGGGGAGACACAAUAGAGGAGAGGAGGCCCAUGUUUCUGUGUGAAUGUUUG
rnacentral:lncRNA from 1 species